GUGCCUGUAGCUCAAUUGGACAGAGCGUUAGCCUCCGGAGCUAAAGGUUGUGGGUUCGACCCCCGCCAGGCACACCA
rnacentral:tRNA from 4 species